rnacentral:rRNA from 1 species
AGAGUUUGAUUCUGGCUCAGAACGAACGCUGGCAGCGUGGAUUAGGCAUGCAAGUCGAACGAGAAUCUAUUUUUUCAAUCUUCGGAAAGAGGGUUUAGAGGACAGUGGCGGAAGGGUGAGUAACGCGUGGGCAAUCUGCCCUCGAGACAGGGAUAACGCUUGGAAACGAACGCUAACACCUGAUGAGGUGGUCCCGCUAUGCGGGACUAACUAAAGGUGGGGAUUCUUCGGAACCUGCCGCUUGAGGAGGAGCCCGCGUCCCAUCAGUUAGUAGGUAGGGUAAUGGCCUACCAAGACUAAGACGGGUAGCCGGCCUGAGAGGGUGAUCGGCCACACUGGGACUGAGACACUGCCCAGACUCCUACGGGAGGCUGCAGUCGAGGAUCAUUCGCAAUGCGCGAAAGCGUGACGAUGCGACGCUGCGUGUAGGAUGACGGCCUUCGGGUUGUAAACUACUGUCAUAAGGGAAAAAUAUGGCGAGGGUUAAUAACUCUUGCAAUUGAUGUUACCUUAAGAGGAAGCCACGGCUAACUCUGUGCCAGCAGCCGCGGUAAUACAGAGGUGGCGAGCGUUGUUCGGAUUUACUGGGCGUAAAGGGUGUGUAGGUUGUCACGUAUGUCGGAUGUGAAAUUCCGGGGCCUAACCCCGGCGCUGCAUUCGAAACUGCGUGUCUAGAGUACAGGAGAGGUAAGCGGAAUUCUUGGUGUAGCGGUGAAAUGCGUUGAUAUCAAGAAGAACACCGGAUGCGAAGGCGGCUUACUGGAAUGUUACUGACACUGAAACACGAAAGCUAGGGGAGCAAACGGGUUUAGAUACCCUGGUAGUCCUAGCCGUAAACGGUGUGCACUCGGUGUUGGCGGAAUUGUCCCCGCCAGUGCCUAAGCUAACGCGUUAAGUGCACCGCCUGGGGAGUACGGUCGCAAGAUUAAAACUCAAAGAAAUUGACGGGGACCCGCACAAGCGGAGGAGCAUGUGGCUUAAUUCGAUCCACGCGAAGAACCUUACCUGGGCUUGACAUAUAUCUGCACGUCCUGUGAAAGCAGGAUUCCUUCGAGGGUGAUAUACAGGUGCUGCAUGGCUGUCGUCAGUUCGUGCCGUGAGGUGUUGGGUUAAGUCCCGCAACGAACGCAACCCCUGUGUUUAGUUGCUACCAGGUAAUGCUGAGCACUCUAGACAGACUGCCCGUGUAAUCGGGAGGAAGGUGGGGACGACGUCAAGUCAGUAUGGCCCUUACGCCCAGGGCUGCACACGUGCUACAAUGACCGGUACAGAGGGUCGCAAUAUCGCAAGGUGGAGCAAAUCCCUUAAAACCGGUCCCAGUUCGGAUUGGAGUCUGCAACUCGACUCCAUGAAGUUCGAUUCGCUAGUAACGGCGUAUCAGCUACGACGCCGUGAAUACGUUCCCGGGUCUUGUACACACCGCCCGUCACAUCAUGAAAGCCGUCUGCACCCAAAGUCGCUGACCCAACCCCGCACC